rnacentral:rRNA from 1 species
GGCGGCGUGCUAAACAUGCAAGUCGAACGUCCUUGUUCUCUUCUUUCGGGAGGAGAGGGAGGGAGUGGCGGACGGGUGAGUAACACAUGGGUGACCUGGCCCAAAGUGAGGGAUACCGGCGCGAAAGUGCCGACAAGCCCGCAUAGGCUCUUUUCUGUGGUGAGGAGAGAGCAAAGCCCUUCUCGUAAGGGUGCUUUGGGAUGGGCCUGUGGCCGAUUAGCUGGUUGGUGGGGUAAGAGCCUACCAAGGCGACGAUCGGUAGCUGGUCUGAGAGGACGAUCAGCCACACUGGGAUUGAGAACGGCCCAGACUCCUACGGGGGGCAGCAGUGAGGAAUUUUCGGCAAUGGGGGAAACCCUGACCGAGCAACGCCGCGUGCAGGAGGACGCUUUUCGGAGUGUAAACUGCUUUUGUCUGGGACGAGCGAGGACGGUACCAGAGGAAGAAGCCCCGGCUAACUACGUGCCAGCAGCCGCGGUAAUACGUAGGGGGCGAGCGUUGUCCGGAGUUACUGGGCGUAAAGGGCAUGCAGGCGGUCAGGCGCGUUUUGUGUGACAGCGGAUGGCUUAACUAUUCGAGGAUACGAAAGACGGCGUGACUUGAAGCGCGAGAGGGACACGGAA